rnacentral:rRNA from 1 species
UACGGAGGGCGCAAGCGUUAAUCGGAAUUACUGGGCGUAAAGCGUGCGCAGGCGGUUUGGUAAGUCCGCUGUGAAAUCCCCGAGCUCAACUUGGGAAUUGCAGUGGAUACUGGCAAGCUGGAGUAUGGUAGAGGAAGGUGGAAUUCCCGGUGUAGCAGUGAAAUGCGUAGAGAUCGGGAGGAACACCAGUGGCGAAGGCGGCCUUCUGGACCAAUACUGACGCUCAUGCACGAAAGCUAGGGGAGCAAACAGG